GAUGAACGCUGGCGGCGUGCCUAAUACAUGCAAGUAGAACGCUGAAGCUUGGUGCUUGCACCGAGCGGAUGAGUUGCGAACGGGUGAGUAACGCGUAGGUAACCUGCCUCUUAGCGGGGGAUAACUAUUGGAAACGAUAGCUAAUACCGCAUAAAGGUCGACAUCGCAUGAUGUUGACUUGAAAGGUGCAAUUGCAUCACUAAGAGAUGGACCUGCGUUGUAUUAGCUAGUUGGUGAGGUAACGGCUCACCAAGGCGACGAUACAUAGCCGACCUGAGAGGGUGAUCGGCCACACUGGGACUGAGACACGGCCCAGACUCCUACGGGAGGCAGCAGUAGGGAAUCUUCGGCAAUGGGGGCAACCCUGACCGAGCAACGCCGCGUGAGUGAAGAAGGUUUUCGGAUCGUAAAGCUCUGUUGUAAGAGAAGAACGAGUGUGAGAGUGGAAAGUUCACACU
rnacentral:rRNA from 1 species